CAACAAGUGCCUCCAUGCAGUCACCUUCAAUUUUCAAGCUCGACUCGUUUGCCACCAAACAUCUUGGCCAGUCCCUAUGAAGAGAUAGGGAGUUCGGGAGUGACUGGCGGCGGGAUGACGGGGGCCUUCUACGUUGCUACCUUCGGCACGAGUUUUGGACGUCCACCGCUCGGACUAUAACGGCGAUGGAAGUUUGGCUCGGCGACGUUCACCACACGGCAAAGAUCCUAUGGACGUCUUAGUUGCACUUCAUCCUCCUUUUCGGAACCGCGGGUGGCGGAUGGUCGGGGGGAGCGCCACCGACGGGCUUAACCCGUUGUCUUCUCCGACCGCCAGUUUCGCAACAGUUUCAUUCAUCCGUUUAACAAAAAUUCUUCGAA